ensembl:snRNA U6 U6 spliceosomal RNA
GUACUCACUUUAACGGCACAUAUACAAAAGUAGAAUGACACAGAGAAGAUUAGCAUGGCCCCUGCAAAAGGAUGACUUGCAUAUUUGUGAAACAUUUCAUAUUUUU